CGGACCGGAAGAGGAAUUGGGGCACCGACAUGCGUCUCAGUCCAAGUGACAACGACGGCAAGUUACAGCGGAGAGAGAGAGUGUGAGAGAGAGAGAGGCGCACGGCUGUGGUGGCUUCUUUGGUGGAAGCAGUGGCGGCGAAGAGUGGCAAGAACGGCGGGAUGGAGUGUGCAAAGGGAAAAGAGGGAUGGCGAAGGUGGUGUGCGACGUAGGAGGUCGAUGUGGCACGUGUGGCAACCGACAGCAGUGGAUGGCAGCGUGCGACGGAGGUUGGGAGGGAAGAGAGAUGGGCGGCGCUGGCGACGUGAGUCGCGUGAUGCGCGACAACAACGGCGGUGUUUUGGCGGAGUGCGAAGGAAAGAGAGAGAUGGUCAAGGUGAUGGCGGCGGUGGCG
rnacentral:lncRNA from 1 species